GGGGCGGGGAGCAAGCAUUAAUCAGAACAUCGAAGUGAGCCCCACCAUGGCUACGUGUACAAAUAGCUGUUGAUGGCUUUGCCAUGCUUACUGAACUGAGCAGACCCAGGCAGCCCCAAAUCAGAGCCUGCCCUCCGGCAAGGGCUCCCGGACCUCUUCACAGGUGAAGUCCACGGAGACCCGGAAAGCUGCUGAGGUACAGGGGUGUGCCCAAGACUCCCUGUAACUGGCAGCCACAGUGAAGUCAACACGGAGAGAGCUGGACCACAGGUAGACAUCCAGUACCGGGGACCUGUGUGAGCGCCUGAUCCAGCCUUACCUGAAGCCAAUGAUCCCUGGAACCCUGUUGAUCAAUAAACCAGUAAAUGCCUCCACCUCUCUUCCACUUUAA